AGUGAACGCUGGCGGUAGGCCUAACACAUGCAAGUCGAACGGCAGCACAGUAAGAGCUUGCUCUUACGGGUGGCGAGUGGCGGACGGGUGAGGAAUACAUCGGAAUCUACUUUUUCGUGGGGGAUAACGUAGGGAAACUUACGCUAAUACCGCAUACGACCUACGGGUGAAAGCAGGGGAUCUUCGGACCUUGCGCGAUUGAAUGAGCCGAUGUCGGAUUAGCUAGUUGGCGGGGUAAAGGCCCACCAAGGCGACGAUCCGUAGCUGGUCUGAGAGGAUGAGCAGCCACACUGUAACUGAGACACGGUCCAGACUCCUACGGGAGGCAGCAGUGGGGAAUAUUGGACAAUGGGCGCAAGCCUGAUCCAGCCAUACCGCGUGGGUGAAGAAGGCCUUCGGGUUGUAAAGCCCUUUUGUUGGGAAAGAAAAGCAGCAGGUUUAUACCCCGCUGUUCUGACGGUACCCAAAGAAUAAGCACCGGCUAACUUCGUG
rnacentral:rRNA from 1 species